CCUACGGGCGGCUGCAGUGAGGAAUAUUGGUCAAUGGGCGCAAGCCUGAACCAGCCAUGCAGCGUGCAGGAUGACUGCUCUACGAGUUGUAAACUGCUUUUGUACAGGGAUAAAAUGAGGCACGUGUGCCUUUUUGAAUGUACUUUAUGAAUAAGGAUCGGCUAACUCCGUGCCAGCAGCCGCGGUAAUACGGAGGAUCCGAGCGUUAUCCGGAUUUAUUGGGUUUAAAGGGAGCGUAGAUGGGUUGUUAAGUCAGCUGUGAAAGUUUGCGGCUCAACCGUAAAAUUGCAAUUGAUACUGGCAGUCUUGAGUACAGUUGAGGUAGGCGGAAUUCGUGGUGUAGCGGUGAAAUGCUUAGAUAUCACGAAGAACUCCGAUUGCGAAGGCAGCUUACUAAACUGCCACUGACAUUGAUGCUCGAAAGCGUGGGGAUCAAACAGGAUUAGAUACCCUAGUAGUC
rnacentral:rRNA from 1 species